rnacentral:misc_RNA from 1 species
UUUUCUUCAUAAAAUAACGGCAUUAGUUCAUUAGUUGUAUUUUAAAGACAGCAAGUGAAACAUAAAAAUACUCGUGUAUCCAAUUGAUAAAUUUUUCCUCCUACGAGGCAGGCGAACUGAAGUUCAUUAUCACAACAGAAUACAGACAUAUUCUUGUAAAGAUCCACUAAUACUAAUACACCACAAGAAGCCUGUGCUAGAAGAACUCGAAGUCCAGAUACUUACCCCCAGACUUCAUGUCUGCCCCCACCACUCUUUUACUGCUGCUGUGCACCCCAAUUGGAUCAACUGCCCCAAAUUUCCCAGGUAGCUCAGUCUCCAUGGGUCUUGGCACUUCUGGAGGUGUGCUGCACCUUAUUAGAGCCCAAUUUACACCUUCAAAGAAAGCGUGCUGCUUGAUCUCAGUUGCACCCCUCUUCACUCCCAACCUGCUCUGUGGUUCCUUCACCAGCAACCCUCGGAUCAAAUCUCGGCUAGCGUAGCUGGUUGCUGGAGAGUCUGGGAAUCUAAGCUGUUGCCCCACCACAUUGAACAGCGUAGCACGAUUCCCUGAGCCUUUGAAUGGGGUCUUUCCAUACAGUAGCUCAUGCAAGAAAAUCCCAAAUGUCCACCAAUCAACAGCACUACCAUGGCCUUCUCCCUUGAUAAUUUCAGGGGCUAGGUAUUCAUGGGUUCCAACAAAGGACAUGGACCGGGCUGCAGUGGGUUCUGCUACAAGCUCAGGAAGUGCACUAGUAGGCAGUCCAUGCUCUGCUCGAGGAUUUCGAGUCUUAUUCUUACUUUUUUGAGGGAAGAUUCGAGGAAUGAAGCAUGCAGGCUGGACACAUACAGAUGAGGGCUCAACACAGGCAGGCUGAACACAAAAUGCACCCCCACCAACUCGUUUUGAAGGAUCAGAAUCAAAUGAGGUUUUUAUCAGGGUGGGUGAAACUGCACAUCUAAGGGAAAGAUCGAAAUCUGAGAGCAUUAUGUGGCCAUCAUCACGGACAAGAACAUUUUCAGGCUUCAAGUCCCUGUAGACAACUCCAAGCAUGUGGAGAUAUUCAAGUGCCAACAAAACCUCAGCAGCAUAAAAUCUUGCAGCAUACUCAGAAAAAUGUUUCCCAGGUUGCCGUUGCCUCAGAGUGUGCAGAUCACCCCCUGGACAGUAUUCCAUGACCAAACAUGAGAAUCUGUCAGUUUCAAAAUGCGUAUACAAGGUCGGCAGAAAUGGAUGAUCCAACAGCUGCAAAAUCUCCCUCUCUGUCUGAGCCCUAGUCAACUUCUUCCUGCUUGCAAGAGAUGUCUUGUCCAUUACUUUCAUUGCAAAACAAGAACGAGUUCCACUCAGUUCUGAAAGAUACACACUACCAAUGUCGCCACAACCAAGCUGUUUUAGCAGUCUAAAGUGACUCAUGCCUAAAAUUCCAUCUCGUGUUCGGAUGGCAAGAAUAGCUUUCCACCUAGGAUCAUUUCCUUUGUGGGGCUUGUUUGCACUCCCAGUAAUAUUGCUCCAAUUGCUGUCAUCACUGAGGCCACUGCUAUCACUUGCACGGCUAACACUGGUCUUUGCACUCUCAAGUGAAUCUCCUCUGAGACUAACACUCCCUUUAGUACUCUCGCAGUUUCUCUCCAUACUCAGCAUGCCAUCACUUGUAAUAACAUCACUUCUAUAUGUACUGGCACAGCUAUUAACGAUGCUCAUGGCUGUGACAACACCAGUACUGUCAAUGCUACUAUGUGGACUUACAUUACCACUCGGAGGCAAAGAAGCAUCCCACACACAUUCUUUCUCCUCUGAAUCAUGCGGGAGGAGAGAGUUUUCUCUAUUUUGAGAUGCACGAGGAACUGAAAAUGGCGAAGACAGAGUGACUAAGUCAUUAGGUUCUUCAACCAAAUUUUCUGCUGGUGAAAGAACAGGUGGGCUUGGUUUCUUAGGUGGAACCCUGAUUGAAAGGUCUUCUAGGAAAGGCCCCUUCACAGACAUACUCUUCAUGAGGCAUCCAGCCUCAGAUUUCUUCUGCCUUAUUGGUACAUACGUCAUUGUUUUCAUUAGAUCUGUAUCAACUGGCUCAGGUGGAUGACUAGCCCCAGAGAAAGAACUUGGGCCACCUUCAUCAAAGGAAUCACUGCUUCCCUUAGAAGUAACAACAUCAUGCAUUAACUCUUCUUGCACAAGCAAAGUGUCUUUUCCCUUCCACGGUCUUACAAGUUCAUUAGAGUCAGUAACUUGGGAGCCUUGUGCAUUAAAUUGUCCCAUUACUUCCCUUACCAAGCUUGUCUGCAGCUUUGGUACCUGACCUCCUUCUCUCCCCAAGGCCACGCGUGUAUUUGAUACCUGACACAAAACAGGUAAUUUACCAGGAAGAGCCUUUGAUUCUGGUACUCUCUCCAUAUCCAGUAACCUCAUAACAUUACAUGUAAUUAUGUUUCAGUGAAAACCCUGCAAAUGGAGAUUGGAGAAUUCAGUAGGUGCUUCAUUUUACUGUAGAUCUGAAUCACCAUCAAGCACUUAUCAUUCAUUAUUUUCCUAAUAAAUCCACUAUAUCCAUUUAUAGUUCUGAUGUGAUCAAGGAGCAUAAAGCCAUUCAGCACCUCCCAUCCCUUUGCAGUGAAACGAAGAAUAGGAAUCUGUACGGAGUAUUAUGCACAAGAAUCUCAGGGCAUGUGUGAGGGUAAAGCUUGACAGUUCGAAUUGCUUGCUGUUUCUCUCUCUAGAAGCUUUGAAAUAACAGCAAUUAGAGAUUUGUAGAGCCCGAGCUAUCAAAGCUCGAGCUCCUCCUAGUUCCUUCUCUCUCUGUCUCCAACAUUUGCAGUUUCUCUCUCCUAGGGUGGCUCUGUAACUAAACAAGCUUUUGCUGAUGGGCUAUUGGCAGCUUUUGCUUUUUCUUUUUUCUCUUUGCUUUGUCUGGGCAGUUUGCACUUUAGCUGAGAGAGAGAGAGAGAGC